UCCAGACUCCUACGGGAGGCAGCAGUGGGGAAUAUUGCACAAUGGGGGGAACCCUGAUGCAGCGACGCCGCGUGGGCGAGGAAGUAUUUCGGUAUGUAAAGCCCUAUCGGCAGGGAAGAAAAUGACGGUACCUGACUAAGAAGCCCCGGCUAACUACGUGCCAGCAGCCGCGGUAAUACGUAGGGGGCAAGCGUUAUCCGGAAUUACUGGGUGUAAAGGGAGCGCAGACGGCAGUGCAAGUCUGGAGUGAAAGCCCGUGGCUUAACCACGGGACUGCUCUGGAAACUGUGCAGCUAGAGUGCAGGAGAGGCAGGCGGAAUUCCUGGUGUAGCGGUGAAAUGCGUAGAUAUCAGGAGGAACACCGGUGGCGAAGGCGGCCUGCUGGACUGCGACUGACGUUGAGGCCCGAAAGCGUGGGGAGCAAACAGGAUUAGAUACCCCCGUAC
rnacentral:rRNA from 1 species